UCUUCCCUCUUUCUUCGUGCUUAACACAUGCAAGUCGAACGAGCAGUCAAGACGGUUACCUUCUGGCGGAAGGCUUUAUUUCGAUUGGCGGACGGGUGAUUACCUCGUGGGUAACCUGCCUCAUACAGGGGGAUCCCAGUUGGAUACGACUGUUAAUACCGCACCAGACCAUAGCAUCGCAUGGUGUGGGGGUAAAAACUCCGAUGGGAUGAGAUGGACCCGCGUUCGAUUAGCCUGUUGGCGGGGUAACGGCCCACCACAGCGACGAUCGAUAGACGAGAUGAGAGGAAGACCGGCCACACUGGGACUGAGACGCGGCCCAGACUCCUACGGGAGGGAGCAGUGGGUAAUAGUGCACAAUGGGGUAAAUCAUGAUGCUGCGACGCCGGGAGAGUGAAGAAGUAUGGGGGGAUGAAAAGCGCUAUUAGCAGGGAAGAAAAUGACGGUACCUGAUCAGAAAGCCCCGGCUAACUACGUG
rnacentral:rRNA from 1 species